ACAUGCAAGUCGAGCGGACAGAUGGGAGCUUGCUCCCUGAUGUUAGCGGCGGACGGGUGAGUAACACGUGGGUAACCUGCCUGUAAGACUGGGAUAACUCCGGGAAACCGGGGCUAAUACCGGAUGCUUGUUUGAACCGCAUGGUUCAAACAUAAAAGGUGGCUUCGGCUACCACUUACAGAUGGACCCGCGGCGCAUUAGCUAGUUGGUGAGGUAACGGCUCACCAAGGCAACGAUGCGUAGCCGACCUGAGAGGGUGAUCGGCCACACUGGGACUGAGACACGGCCCAGACUCCUACGGGAGGCAGCAGUAGGGAAUCUUCCGCAAUGGACGAAAGUCUGACGGAGCAACGCCGCGUGAGUGAUGAAGGUUUUCGGAUCGUAAAGCUCUGUUGUUAGGGAAGAACAAGUACCGUUCGAAUAGGGCGGUACCUUGACGGUACCUAACCAGAAAGCCACGGCUAACUACGUGCCAGCAGCCGCGGUAAUACGUAGGUGGCAAGCGUUGUCCGGAAUUAUUGGGCGUAAAGGGCUCGCAGGCGGUUUCUUAAGUCUGAUGUGAAAGCCCCCGGCUCAACCGGGGAGGGUCAUUGGAAACUGGGGAACUUGAGUGCAGAAGAGGAGAGUGGAAUUCCACGUGUAGCGGUGAAAUGCGUAGAGAUGUGGAGGAACACCAGUGGCGAAGGCGACUCUCUGGUCUGUAACUGACGCUGAGGAGCGAAAGCGUGGGGAGCGAACAGGAUUAGAUACCCUGGUAGUCCACGCCGUAAACGAUGAGUGCUAAGUGUUAGGGGUUUCCGCCCCUUAGUGCUGCAGCUAACGCAUUAAGCACUCCGCCUGGGGAGUACGGUCGCAAGACUGAAACUCAAAGGAAUUGACGGGGCCCGCACAGCGGUGGAG
rnacentral:rRNA from 1 species